AUAGACAGGGUACAUGUAGAUUGGUGUUCAUUGCAUCCCAACAGCGUUUCAUCAUGAACUUGAAUUUAUGUUUGGGCCGGGAUAUACAUGUAGAUAGGACAACAGUGAACGAGAUUCAUGUUUAUUUUGAAGAUAUCACGUCCUACAUAAUCGUAUGUCAACCAGUCAACAUGUACAAUUGAACAUCAACUAAGACGACGUUGACGUGACUAGAUCAAGGCAAAACCAUGGACCUUCUAUACAAGAAACACAACGGGCAAUAAAGAUAUACAAACACAGUUGGGAAUCCAGCAUGGCAGAAUUCAAGCGGAACAUCCCGGUAUUUACAAAGACAGAUUUAACAGUAGGAGCAGUAUUUGGUGAAGGUGGUUUUGGAAGUGUAUAUGUUGGGAAACUUGAGAAACUUCAUCAACGAGUUGCAGUAAAGGUGUUUAAAGCAAAUCGUGGAGAAACGAUAUCAGAAAGACACCGAAACAUGUUAAUAAAAGAGGCCAAUCAUAUGUUCGAUGCUAGACAUCCAAAUGUUGUACACAUAUUCGGGAUUGUCUUAGAAACAGAUUACUAUGCGAUUGUAAUGGACUUCUGCCCAACUGGGUCAGUUAAAACCUUGUUGAAACAUUAUCCAGACACUUCCAUUAGGCUUAGAUACAGAAUUUUACAUCAAGUGGCAAUUGCGAUGAACUUCUUACAUCAAAUGAACCCAAUAAUCCUACACUUGGACCUUAAGGCUGAAAACGUUUUACUUGAUAGUUACUGCAACGUUAAGUUGUGUGAUUUUGGGUUGUCCAAAGCACGGAAAGAGAUAACAUCAACAAGUGUUACAAGCAAAGGAGGCUUUGGAACUGUAACUCACAUGUCCCCACAGCAGUUGGAAAAUUCUAAAUCACCUACGAAACAAGAUGACGUGUACUCAUUUGGAAUUCUCAUAUGGGAAGUGUUUACAUCAGGAAUGCAGCCGUACGAAGAUAAUCGUUACCAUGAAAUCUUAGUGGGUGUUGCAAUACUGCAAAUGCGCCCCAAACCGGAGUUCCUCCUUGACACGAGAAAAGACUGUCAUUUAGAGGAACUGUACAUAUUGAUGAAAAAGUGUUACACUCAUAAUCCAUCAGAAAGGCCAACUUUUGAUGAGUGUGCAGUAUCCUUGGAAGGUUUCUUGGACACAGACGAGAGAAAGUUACAGCUUGACGUAGAAAAGGCAACCGAAAAAGUUAAAGCCAAAGAACAGCUCGGGACCUAUAACAACGAAUCAAAAAUUGACUGUCAGAAUCUAACAGAGGCAGUAAGCUCACGCUAUAUCGCUGUACAUCAACACGAGGAUGAAAAUGAAGCUGAACAUGACGUCGUAAUCUCUGAACAUUUACGCAAACGCUCAAAACACAGUUCAAAUACAGAUAGAGGCCAAAUCAAAUCUGAGCGAUCUUCCAGGAGUACUGCGUCACAAUUAAAGGGAGAAUUGGUCGAAACAAAAAUGGCGACGGACUUCACUCAAGCUCCAAAGUUCAAUAGAUUCGUGAUUUUCAUUGUUCUCUGCUUUGUUUUGUUGUUACUUGGACUAUUAGUGUUUAAACCAAAUCAAACAUCAAAAUGUGCUGAAAAGGCGGAACUU
rnacentral:misc_RNA from 1 species